rnacentral:tRNA from 1 species
GCCGGAAAACGUCAUGUUGACACCCGUACUGAUGAA